rnacentral:pre_miRNA from 1 species
AAGAACCAAUACCCGAACUGAACUCUCGUGGGUCUGCAGUUGAUAUUUCGAAAGCUUGUAGCACCAUGAGAUUCAGCUCCGGUGUUGGUUCG